UCCGGAAUUAUUGGGCGUAAAGAGCUCGUAGGCGGUCUGUCGCGUCGGCUGUGAAAACCCGGGGCUCAACCCCGGGCCUGCAGUCGAUACGGGCAGACUAGAGUGCGGUAGGGGAGACUGGAAUUCCUGGUGUAGCGGUGAAAUGCGCAGAUAUCAGGAGGAACACCGGUGGCGAAGGCAGGUCUCUGGGCAUUAACUGACGCUGAGGAGCGAAAGCGUGGGGAGCGAACAGG
rnacentral:rRNA from 1 species